rnacentral:SRP_RNA from 1 species
GGCGGGUCUCCCCGCAUUGCGGCGUAGUGAACUUGGUCAGGUCCGGAAGGAAGCAGCCACAGCUAUUUACCGUGAGUGCCGGGGUAAGGCUCGCCAUC